ensembl:lncRNA
GCUAGUAGAAGACCUGGAUCUAGAAGACAUGUCUCCUGAGCAACUGCUGUGCUCUGCUCUUUCUCCUGUUAUUUCAAGACAGGAGGUCCUGAUAAGGAAUGCAGAACUAACCAGAAGAAUUCGGGAAAGGUCAAAAAGAAGACAUCACGUGUCCCACCACCUCCCAGAAUCCUUGUUGCAUCCAUCUUGGCUGAGCAAUGAGAAGCCCGCUGCCAAGAUGUGAGGACACUCCAGUAGACCUAUGGAAAGAUCCAUUGGUAAGGGACCAAGGCCUGCUGCCCAUGGUCAGUGGGAUGAGAAGCUUUCUGCCAGCUGCCGUGUAUGUGAGUGAGCCAUCGGGAAGGUGAAUCAGCCAACCUUGCUCAAAGCUUCA